rfam:Camelus ferus unplaced genomic scaffold scaffold852, whole genome shotgun sequence.
GAGGGUAGAGCUCAGCGGUAGAGCACAUGCUUGGCAUGUGUGAGGUCCUGGGUUCAAUCCCCAGCACCUCCA